ACCGGCGAACGGGUGCGUAACACGUGAGCGACCUGCCUUCCCGCGGGGGAUAGCCGGCCCAACGGCCGGGUAAUACCGCAUACGCUCAUUGGGAUACCUGUCCCAGUGAGGAAACUUCCGGGGCGGGGAGAGGGGCUCGCGGCCUAUCAGCUAGUUGGCGGGGUAAUGGCCCACCAAGGCGGUGACGGGUAGCUGGUCUGAGAGGAUGAUCAGCCUCACUGGGACUGAGACACGGCCCAGACUCCUACGGGAGGCAGCAGUGGGGAAUAUUGGACAAUGGGCGCAAGCCUGAUCCAGCCAUGCCGCGUGGG
rnacentral:rRNA from 1 species